rnacentral:rRNA from 1 species
UGUUGACGGUAGUGGGUGAUGAAUUUCUCCUAACUUGGUGCCGGCAGUUCAUGGUAAUUCGAAGUGGGCAAGCGUUAUUGGAAUGCCUGGGCUAAAGGGCGCGUGUGCGGUUCUUUGAAUCAGAUGUGAUAGCCCCGGGCUCACCCUGGGAACCCCUUUAAUCCGGGCUGGGUUGAAUCCAAGAGAGGGCGGUGGAAUUCCCCCCGUCGAGGUGAAAUUCUGGAUAUUGGGAAGAACUCCCUGGCGAAGGCGGCCACCGGGCUUGGCAUAAAUGGGAGGCUUGAAAGGGUGGGGAGCAAACAGGAUUAGAUUCCUUUCUAGUCCACGCCGUAAUCGAAGUAUCCUAGCCGUCGGGCAGCUUGGUGUUCUCAUGCGCAGCUAACUCCAUAAGCACUCCGCGCGGCGAGUACGGUAGCAAGACUAAAACUCAA